UAAAUGUCCUGCAGGUGACUGAAGCUGCUGCAAUUUUAUUGGAGAUUAAAGUUUGAUUGACCUUUGCUGAGGUGAUUAACCCUUUUGAAAUUAAAAGCUGGUGCUAAAUUAUUCUGUCCAAUUUAAAUGCAAACACAGAACAGUAUGCUGUGUCAUUCAAGUGUAAGGGGGAAAAAAAUGUUUUAAUUUUCCUUUUGCACUCAGUGAGCUGUGCUUGCAGACGGCGUGACUGGGCUCUGCUGGAGCUGGCCAGUGGCAUCCUGCCUCCACUCUGCUCAUCACCGCUACAGCAGCCAUACUGCGGGAACGCCAAACCUGGGAGCAGCUGCCUGAAACAAGUCCUCGCAUGCAGGGAUGUCAGCAGAAGCACAUGGAAGCACAUCAGCAAGGUUUAGCUGGUGGAUCACAUUGUAAAAUCUGCAGCCAUGAAAGGCCCUCCAUUUAUUGCACCCUUCAAAACGGAAUAUUAGCAUGGGAGGCUAAGCUGGGUGUUAUGGAGUAG
rnacentral:lncRNA from 1 species